GAUGAACGCUGGCGGCGUGCCUAAUACAUGCAAGUCGAGCGAACAGACGAGGAGCUUGCUCCUCUGACGUUAGCGGCGGACGGGUGAGUAACACGUGGAUAACCUACCUAUAAGACUGGGAUAACUUCGGGAAACCGGAGCUAAUACCGGAUAAUAUAUUGAACCGCAUGGUUCAAUAGUGAAAGACGGUUUUGCUGUCACUUAUAGAUGGAUCCGCGCCGCAUUAGCUAGUUGGUAAGGUAACGGCUUACCAAGGCAACGAUGCGUAGCCGACCUGAGAGGGUGAUCGGCCACACUGGAACUGAGACACGGUCCAGACUCCUACGGGAGGCAGCAGUAGGGAAUCUUCCGCAAUGGGCGAAAGCCUGACGGAGCAACGCCGCGUGAGUGAUGAAGGUCUUCGGAUCGUAAAACUCUGUUAUUAGGGAAGAACAAAUGUGUAAGUAACUAUGCACGUCUUGACGGUACCAAAUCAGAAAGCCACGGCUAACUACGU
rnacentral:rRNA from 1 species